rnacentral:rRNA from 1 species
UACGUAGGGGGCUAGCGUUGUCCGGAAUUAUUGGGCGUAAAGAGCGCGUAGGCGGUCCGAUAAGUCGGCUGUGAAAGUCAGGGGCUCAACCCUUGGAAGCCGGCCGAUACUGUCGGACUAGAGUCCGGAAGAGGCGAGUGGAAUUCCCGGUGUAGCGGUGAAAUGCGCAGAUAUCGGGAGGAACAUCAAUGGCGAAGGCAGCUCGCUGGGACGGUACUGACGCUAAGGCGCGAAAGCGUGGGGAGCAAACAGG